rnacentral:snRNA from 1 species
GUGCUCGCUACGGCAGCACAUAUACUAAAAUUGGAUCGAUACAGAGAAGAUUAGCAUGGCCCCUGCGAAAGGAUGACACGCA